CUUUUUCACGUGCUUCGAUGAAAGACAUUUCUUCACCUCUCAGAUGAAAAAUAAGCUCAUCAAGGGGUGAUUCAUCUUCAUCUUCAAGCUCUUCAUCAAUUUCUGCUUCAUCUCCAGUAUCCUCAUCCGGAUCACUCUCGAUUUCAUCAUCAGAACUUUUACUCUCCUCCUUUUCGCUUUCUUCACAUUCUUCUCCUUCUUCGCUUUCUUCCCCUUCUUCGAUUUCUUCGAUUUCUAAGAUUUCUUCUCCUUCUCCGCUUUCUUCUUUUUCUUCGUCUUCUUCUUUUUCCUCGCAUUCUUCUUUUUCUUCGUUUUCUUCUCUUACUUCGUCUUCUUCUCCUACUUCGCCUUCUUCUCUUUCAACGCUUUCUUCUUCUUUUUCUUCCACCUUUU
rnacentral:lncRNA from 1 species